CAGAUGUGACCGGCUGAUUAGCCAUCACGCCAUACAGCUGUGGGGGAACUAAUGAUUGGUUUGGCCGUUGCAGCAGGGGGUUCAAAUUGAUUGACGGACGUAGCUCCACUAUACUCCUGAACACUCCUGGACAGACCAGUGUUCUGUGGCUGCAGUGCAGAGUCUGCUGACGGUGUCUCUGCUUAUCGGCGGCGUCAGGGUCGGACAUCCGAGGUAAACAAAAUGUUUGUUUAUGCUAAUUGUUAUCGUUCUGUUGCUUGAUUGUUUUUAAACAUUUCUUUGUUUCAUUACCGUUUUGCCUCUGUUGCCUUGUCUUUUUGUUUGUUUAUUUUGUUGUUUCUUUCUUUUAGUUUGUAGUUGUUUUGCCUAGUUCUGUAUUAGUUUGCUUGGUUCGAGUUUAGUUUCGUUUCUCCCCAUGUGUGUUUAUCUUUAGGUUGUCGUGGUUGUGUUCUCUGGCUCAGUAAUCAGGUUUCUCCCCUCCAUAGCUGCGUAGGGCCUGUGUGACUGUCAGUUUUAAUAACUGCAUUUAUAGUAACGUGUGUGCGUGUGCGUGUGCUGAAUAUAUUUUUGUACCAGAAUAAAAAUUGUAUUUAUGUUUUUCUA